rnacentral:lncRNA from 10 species
UAAAAUUCCCCGCCCUCAUGGAGAAUAACAUUCUUCACAGAGUUUGUGGGGAACAGACUCCCUCCAGUACCUUGUGUUUCUCAAGUCUUAAACUCAUCCUCUGCUCUGGAUUUAAAAGCAAAAGUGGCAUCUCCGGGUCUCUCAUGUAAUAUUUGGAGGAACAUUACACUUCCCAUGUAUAUUUCAUGCCUCUUUCCCAAGAUUUUACUGCUGCUUCUAAGGCAGCUAACAGUAGGUAGGAAACUUUGACCUCUCUUUCACUUUGCCCCUUUAGGACCUCCAGUUUUAGACUUCAUCAAGCAAGCCUGGUUUCAUUUCUUCUUGCUUAGCCUGAUGAACCAGUGUGCUGUACACCACUGUUGGAAACACUGGUACAAAGUUCUGGUACAGAACUCUUUCUGAAUAUUAAUCUCCUGUAUUGCUAUGCCAGAAUCAGGUAAGAAGGGGUGUGUGUGUGUGUGCGCGUGCGUGCACGCACGUUUGUGUACUCACAAAUGUGGGCACACCAUUCUGUAUGUUAGAAGGAAAGUCUGUGAUUAGCUGUGAGCAUAAACACAGCUAACCUGAUUCCGGGUUGCUUCAUGAAUACAGAUCCCAGAGCAGCUGUCAAGCUUUCCCCCUCCUUAUCUCAUCCCGACCUUUUGGGAACAAAAGUGCCCAGACAUCUCCCCCUGCAGAUUAACAAGCUGCACUUCAGAGGAGCAUUUACUGAUAAACAUCUGCCUUCCAAAGAGAAACCAUUUAUUUAACAAGCUGCUCUUUAGAAAUUUAUAGUUGCAGCUUGCCUUCUUGCCAUUGCUCUAAAUCAAGAUUCCCUUCUUUGUCCUCCUCUAUUUUUCUUUACUAAAAAUUUGCUUGUUGAGCAUUGGUAUAAUUUCCAAGGAGUCAGUGUUCAUGCUAACAUAAAUUUUUUUAAAAGCCCCAACUCGGUUUAAAAUUACUUUUUUGUUCACUCAUAAAGGAUAUUUAUGAGUAAAAUCUAUAGAACCCAGUUUGUCGUAUUAAACUGCCAGGCUGUGCCCUCAAAUGCCCAGAAAAGAGAAAUGCAUUUAACCACCAAAUCUCCAACAGACUUCAUCCUUAUCACUCUUUGGUUUUGUGUAUGUUGACCUGCUCUUGGUCACUCUUGUGUUGUGUGUUUGAGGGUAUAGAUCAUUUUGUAACUUUACUUACAUUAUAGGGUAUAUGUAUUAUCUCCCAGAUUAAACUGUAGGAUAUUUAAAAGGGCAAGAACUCUCUCUUCCGCUUUCGUUGUAUGUUUUAGAAGAUCUAAAGAGUUUGAAGAGAGCAGAUGUGAUGUGUGUUAACUAAUAGUCUGAUGUGAAGUGCACAGUUGUGUGAGGGGACUCUGAGGUCAGACCUGUCUUUGAUCUUUUCAGAAGACAUGUAUGUGAUUAGCUGUAGUGCAUAAAUAGGGUUCCAUGUUGUGUCAUAAAUGCCUCCCCUCUCAUGCCUUCAAAAAUCAGUCGCUGGGGGACCUUGGGCAGGUUGUAUGCCCUCUCUACGAGGCAGCUUCCUCAUCUGUAAAUGACCAUAGUGCUACCACUCACCUCACAGGACAGUGCAAGAAAUCAAUGCCUUAAUCCACAGAAAGCUCUCAGCACAGGGCUUGGCUUUUAAAAGAAAUCUUCAUUAACUGAAGAACAAUAAUGAAGACCCUUGGGAGAGGUUUAAUUUUUUCAAUUCUUCAAAGCCAUGCUUUACAGAAAAAGUGAAUGCAACACCUCAUCAAAAUACCUCAUUUGAUAGACAAUGUGUAUAAAUCUCCCUGUGAAUGCCAGUAGCACAAGAGAAGUGUAGGGAGGGAAACUUGACUGUGGUGAGACUGGAUAUUUUCCAGAGGGAGCUGUAAACAUUGCAGCUAUAGACAGCCUUCCUGUUACAGAUUUGACACCUUACAAAUGGAUUACUCUGCUCAUUAGGAUAAUUAUACCAGACAUGCUGGAUGGUUUAGUGGAACCCAUCUCACACCUGGA